CACUAAUGUAGGUAUUCUCAGGGUCCGUGCAGAUUCAGCCCAAGAGGAGAGAAUACUUACUGCACUUGGCUUCCUCUGUCUCUGUUUUCAUCCUCCCGUGAAUGAACCGGAGUGCAAAGGAGCCGUUGAUCUGGCUGGCCGAGUGAAGCAGUGUGGCCCUGCACUUGGUCCUGCCGUCGCCUUGCAGCAGGAGGUAAUAGCUGGAGUACUCGCCUUUCACGUCGACAUCUGGAACUGAAGAACAGUGAUCUAGGUAAGAACGGGGAAACGCUGCUCAUCACGUGGCAACUGUUGAUCCCUAAGAGAGACCGACUGGACAGCUCCAUGGUACCUGACGAUGAAACAAAGCUGUCGCUCGAUUCAUCUGGGACCGUUUGGAUGACCCAUGUAGUGGAGAAGCUGCUGAAGCAGAAAGUCAUGACAGCAAUAAAAAGUAUGGACUUUUUGUCCUGUCUAAUCACUACG